UGACGUAAAGGGAAGCUGGGACACAAUAUGAGACUGAGGAUGUUGGAGCAGGGCCAAGGUCAGCAGUGCUGAGGGACCAUUAUUGUUCCUUGCUGCACCUUGGGGAAUCGUGGGGGUGCAGACCUGGGUGCGGAGGACACGGCGGGGUGUCGCGGGGACCUGAAACCUCCCCGGAGCCGCAGUCGCCGCGCGGGGCGGCCUGGGAAAGUCACCAGUCAGCAGCGCAGUGGCGGGAACCGCAGCCCGGCGGCCCUGGAACCUCCCAGUCUGUUGACAGCCUUUGGUGUGACUGUGGACAUCUCCCAGGAGGUGUGGCCAUGCCUGGACCUGCUCUGAGGCCUUUGUACUUGCACUGGAUGUUGCAGAAUUGCAGCAGAAUGGUCUCUGUGGGUCUCACUGAUCACCCAGACAUGCUCACCUGUGCAGCAGAACAAAGUGACCUGGAAGGGGAGAGGAGACAGUAGCUAAGGAUCCAGGUAUGGUGGAGACAUUGGUGAAGGAGUGGAAAGGGGAUCAAGUGAAUGUGGAAGUGGGACAUGAAAUCAGUUUUGCCACAUUCUGUGUCACUAGAGAUAA